CUCCCUUCUGAAAACCAAUAAUCAGAUUGGUGGUGGGGCCUUCAAUGUUGACUCCCCCAGGAUUUAUUCUAACAGUCUCCCUCCCAGUGCGGCGGUGGCUGCCUCUGGUUCACUCAGGAUCAAUCACGCCAAUCAUACAGGCUCCAAUCAUAACUACCUGAGAAACACAUACAACAAACCAAAGCUUUCUGAGCCUGAAGAGGAACUUCUCCAGCAAUUUAAAUGGGAGGAGGUGUCCCAAACAGGGAGUUUCAGUGCCCACUACUUGAUGUUUCUCUUAACUGCUGCCUGCUUAUUUUUCCUAAUACUGGGACUGACUUAUCUAGGAAUGAGAGGGACAGGAGUGUCUGAAAAUGGAGAACUCAGCAUAGAAAACCCCUUUGGUGAAACAUUUGGAAAAAUACAAGAAAGUGAAAAAAAUCUUAUGAUGAACACAUUAUAUAAGCUUCAUGAUCGAUUGGCACAGCUUGCAGGAGAUCAUGAAUGUGGCGGUUCUAGUCAAAGAACGCUUUCUGUUCAAAAGGCAGCUGCAUAUUUAAAAGAUUUAGGUCGUGAAUAUGAAGGUAUAUUUAACACUUCCUUGCAGUGGAUCUUAGAAAAUGGAAAAGAUGUUGGAAUAAGGUGUGUUGGUUUUGGCCCUGAGGAAGAAUUGACAAAUAUAACUGAUGGGCAGUUUUUACAGUCCACAAGACCACUGAUGUCUUUUUGGUGUUGUUUUUGACGUGUUUUUGUUACCAUUACCCACAGAUUGUUGUUAUUAUGCUUAGGUGUAGUGAUGGUUUGUGUUGUUCUGCAUUACAUGAAAUAUCAUUGGACAAAAGAGGAGGAGGAAACCAGGCAGAUGUAUGAUAUGGUGGUAAAGAAUAUAGAUGUUUUAUGAAGUCAUAAUGAAGUGUGCCAGGAAAACAAAGAUUUACAACCUUACAUCCCUAUUCCACAUGUAUGCCAUUUCUUAAUACAGCCUUGACAGGAAAAAAAUGAAGAAAGUCUGGAAUAGAGCUGUCGAUUUCCUUGUUGCUAAUGAGCCUAGAGUUUGCACAGAAACACGAAGAAUAGGUGGCGUAGCUUUUCUGGUUUGAUGAUGAAUCCAGCCUUCUGCAUCCUGUGACAAAAUAUUAGUUAUACUAUCUCAAGUAUGGCAGGAUCAAGCAUUUCAUUUAGAUAGAAGAAAUUCACCACCACAUAGUUUAACACUGUGUCUAAAGAUUUGGAAUAUGUUUGAUCCCUGUUAUGGAAAUAGGGGAUCAGUGGCAUUUGGCAAUUCAAGAAGCAAUUUUAGAAAAAUGCAGUGAUAAUGAUGGCAUUGUUCACAUUGCAGUAGACAAAAAUUCAUGUGAGAGUUGUGUAUAUGUUAAAUGUCGGUCUCCAGAAUAUGCUGGAAAGGCUUUUAAAGCAUCGCAUGGCUCUUGGUUUGAAGGGAAGUUGGUUACAGUAAAAUAGUUGCGACUAGAUAGAAACCACCAUCAUUUUCCCCAGGCUCUUACUUCCAACACUCCACUGAAGCCAUCAAAUAAACAUAUGAACUCUAUGUGUCAUCUUCAUCUUCGGACUGGCCUAACCAAUUCUCAAGGAAGUUCCUGGAAAGAUUUUCUUCCAUUUCUAAGACUGUUAUUUACAAUAGGAAAAUUCCUGUUUGGCUUUUUGUCUUCCUUUUUAAAUGUUUUUUUACAUAAUAUUUUUACUGAUGAAGACAUCUGUUUGAACGUUCCAGAAGUCUUAAGGUUCCAAAGGGAUUUAGCAGUGAGGCAUCAAUGCUGAGUAGGUAGGAUAAUUAUUUCAUUCAGUUUUUGGAGCUCAGUUAAACUAAUACAUUUAAAGUUUUGCAUGAGGAGCAUUGACUUUAUUAAGCAUUUUCAGAUGUGUUGGUUGUAUUUUUGCACCAAGAAGUGUUUGGAUAACCACACAAAAGCAUGAUGAAAAGGCCUCUUGUAGUCCCAUAAUUUCUUGUGAUCUAAUGUUGUGAAUUUUUGCAUACAGUCACCUGCAUAGCUCCUACAGGCUAGUGUGGUAAAACUGUUGAUUUCCCAAUUUAACCUUAAGUUUCUGUUGCUUAUAAGUGAUUCAUUUGCUACAGCUGGAAUAUGGGAAAAUUAAUUUGGGCUUAGUGGUUACAAAUA